CUCAUAGUCAAAAGUUUUUAGUGCGUAAAGAUUACCGUUCUCUGGAUUGAUGGAGAACAGCAUGGACAUGGAGGUGUUGGCUAUCUCCUUCUCUAGGAUGAAAUAAACUAGAUACUGGUUUUCAUGGAGGUCAGGGUCAAAGGCUGUGAGUGAACUGAGCAAGGCCCCAGGUGCGUUAUUCUCCAUUACACGUAUAGUAUAAAAUGACUGAGGGAACUGUGGAACAUUGUCAUUAACAUCCAGCAGCUCUAACGUCAUAGUCUCAUUGUCAGAUAAAGGAG